rnacentral:lncRNA from 10 species
AACCCUGUCUCUACUAAAAAAUACAAAAAUUAGCCAGGCCGAGUGUGGUGGUGGGAGCCUGUAAUCCCAGCUACUCAGGAGGCUGAGGCAGGAGAAUUGCUUGAACCCGGGUGGCAGAGGUUGUGGUGAGCCAAGAUCAUGCCACUGCACUCCAGCCUGGGCAACAAAAUGAGACUCCACCUCGUGGGGGAUAAAAAAGGACUUUAUUUAAGAAUAAUUGGCAUAAUAAAUGAUCUGUGGGAAAAUCCUUAGGAAUUUCUACAUAAACUAUUGAUGGCAGUGGUGGCCCAUCUGGAGUGGCCACUGUGAAGAUGCCAGCUGCAAUAGGGAGGGCAUGACUGGGGCUGCACAUUCCAUGGAGCCAGCGGGAGCCAGGAACAGGUGGGAACCCUCUUCCAAGUUGGUGGGGUAGGAGCCCCAUGUUCCUGAGCACAGCUGCAGCCUCCCAGCCAUAGCUGUGUACCCGGGCAUCCCUAUGCUCUCAGGAGCCUGGGAAGACCCGCUGACAGGCUCAGAAUUGCCUGCUCCUGCUGCCUGCCCUCCCCCCACUGCCAGCGCCCACUCCAAUUUUAGAGCAAAGUUGAAGCCAAGCCCAGACAUUUGUUGCAACCCAGCUGGUGUCUGUAUGCUCAGGGCGGUGCUGACACGACAGAACCCUGCUGCCACGGCCCCUUCUGGGUUUCAGGCACUAACAAGCAUGGAAGGAAGGCCAAUGAGGUGCUGAGGGCAGCUCAGAGUGGGCCUGCAAGGCACCCCUCAGCACAAACACUCUGCGUGCCUUGGACAACCUGAUUGAUGGCAGCAGGAGACAGAUAGGCUCCUGAGCAUAAAGGAGUGGGUCCCCAGCGAAGCCCCCUCCCCCCACCUCAAGCCCUGAAGCGUGGGGGCUGGCUGUCAUCCCUGAAGCCUGAGGGCCAGGCUGUCAAAUCCAGUUGGAGUCCACGGCCCUCAAUGAGAACUUACACGAUGCUUUUUUCCAGUCCUGCCCACGGCUGCCCACGGACCAAUCAGCACGCAGUUCCUCCCUUCUGAGACCAUAAAAAUCCCAGACACAGUCAGACUCACAGAGAUAACUGACUACCAGCUGUGAGAGGGAGCUACCCAAUUUGAGUCUCCUUAACCCAUCCGACCACGUGUUUGCAGAAAAAAGAGCUCUACCCACUCCGAGUCUCCUGUUUGCUGAGGGCUGCACUCCUCACGACAACCUGCCUGCAGAAAGGAGCUCUACCCACUCCGGGUCUCCUCUCUGCUGAGAGCUGGACACUCAUUGGGACGACCUGCCUACAGAUAGGUCAGGAUGACCUGCCUGCAGAUACCCACCCUGGGUCUCUUCUCCACCAAGGGCUGCGCUCAUCAGAAGGACCUGCCUGUGGAAAGAAACUACCCACUUCGGGUCUCUGAAGGGCUAUUCUAUCACUCACUGUCUCCCUUGCUUACUCUCCAGUUGUCUGCAUAUGUCAUUCUUUCUGGACAUGGGACAAAAACUUGGGACUCACUGAAUAGUGGGACUGAAAGAGCUGUAACACAAAGCAGGGCUGAAACCGCCACCCCGCCCCCCCCCCCCCACCUCCCCGUGACUGGUUACCACAUUGCAGGCAAUGAGAAAAAAAGGGCUGCUGCCCUUUAGGGGUCCCAGACCUAGGGGGUCCCCAAGCCAGGACUCUGACACCCUCUUUGGGGCUCUGCAGUUUCUGGCAUCUCCAAGCUUCUGGAUGUCACUGCAUUCCCCUUGUCCAGACAUGAGUGCCCACAGCAGAAGCUGCUUGCAGUGCAUCAGAUCCAGCCACAUGCAUGCAUGGAGCCGGCACCUUUGCCGGUGCCUGGAGCUACCUGCCCCGCCAUAGCAGCCUUCAUGCCUGGCUGUGCACAGUGGCUGGACCCUGCGCUCACUUGCACAUGCACCCCUCACCAUUCCAUUCCUGGUUUGCCCUUGGCAGGUGUCGAAUUUGGGCCCAUAACACAAGCCAAGUGCAGCCUGCCAGGCCAAGUAGAUGGAACAAGCCCAGCAGGCCUGAGCAAAACUCGGACAAAGAUGCCAACGGCCACAGAGGUUUCUGGCUAGAAAAGCAACACCUUAAGGAUCCCAAGACUAUCAUGUUAUCUGCCAAUAAAGACAGUUUUCCUUCUUUUCA